UGAGCAAGAAGGGCGGGAAGAAGAAGGGCUCCUCUUUCCAGACCGUGUCCGCUGUGUUCAGGGAAAAUUUAAACAAAUUGAUGGCCAGUUUAAGGAGCACUCAUCCUCACUUUGUGCGAUGUCUGAUUCCCAAUGAGACCAAGACUCCUGGUGAGUGACAGUCUCCAGCUCUCUCCCCAUCUCAGGUGUGUGACACUCCCAGCUCUCUCCCCAUCACAGGUAAGUGAUAGCUCCC